GACAGAGGGUGCAAACGUUGCUCGGAAUUACUGGGCGUAAAGCGCGUGUAGGCUGGCUCGCAAGUCAGAUGUGAAAUCCCUGGGCUCAACCCAGGAACUGCAUUUGAAACUGCUUGCCUAGAGUGAUGGAGAGGAGAGCGGAAUUCCUGGUGUAGAGGUGAAAUUCGUAGAUAUCAGGAGGAACACCGGUGGCGAAGGCGGCUCUCUGGACAUCUACUGACGCUGAGACGCGAAAGCGUGGGGAGCAAACAGG
rnacentral:rRNA from 1 species